AAGGAUCAUUAUUGAAUGAACUUGGUGUGGUUGUUGCUGGCCCUCUUGGGGGCAUGUGCACACCCACCAUCCUCAUCUCCCCACCUGUGCACCUCUUGUAGACCUGGAUUGACUUUCCGAGGCAACUCGGUCGGGAAGAUUGCUGUGCUCUGUGUGGCCAGCUUUCUUUGCAUGUCCAGGCCUAUGUUUUUCAUAUACCCCUAUAGAAUGUAACAGAAUGUAUCAUUGGGCUUUGUGCCUAUAAACCUUAUACAACUUUCAGCAACGGAUCUCUUGGCUCUCGCAUCGAUGAAGAACGCAGCGAAAUGCGAUAAGUAAUGUGAAUUGCAGAAUUCAGUGAAUCAUCGAAUCUUUGAACGCACCUUGCGCUCCUUGGUAUUCCGAGGAGCAUGCCUGUUUGAGUGUCAUUAAAUUCUCAACCUUAUUAACCUUUGUUGAUAAUGGAUUGGAUUGUGGGGGUUUCUUUUGCUGGUUUCUUCAGAGAUCAGCUCCCCUUAAAUGCAUUAGCUGGUGCCCCGCGUGGACCAUCUAUUGGUGUGAUAAUUAUCUACGCCGUGGAUGUCUGCAAUCAUAUGGGUUUUGCACUGCUUCUAACCGUCUGUUUGACAAUACAUGACAAUUUGACCUCAAAUCAGGUAGGACUACCCGCUGAACUUAAGCAUAUCAAUAAGCGGAGGA
rnacentral:sRNA from 1 species